ACCGAUCUAUCGAACGUUGAGUGGCAAACUUCGGUUCCUUCUUGAAUAGGUAUACAUAACCUGUCAAAUAUCGGACAACUGUUUUAGAUAGGCUGAUGUACGAGUUCAUCGUAUCGGAUAUACAUCGACUAUGAAAAUAGGGACAUUAAAGUUCUAGAAUUUCAUGAAGAUCCAUGGUUGUUGCAGACAACUGCGUCUAAAUCGUAGGAUACGGCAGCUGAAAUUUUAUGCGAUCGCGUGAUCACGCCUCCUCCACGAGUUUUCACGAGUGUUCUUGACUCGAAUGCAACGGAAUGUCUGAAUAUAUAAUAAUCAAAAAAUGUUUCUCGUGAUGGAUGAGAAAGUAGAAGUGCCAAAAGCAGCGAGCUGAAUCGGAAGUUAAGAAGUUAACGAUUAUUUUCCAUGGUUCUUAAGCAUUAACAAACGAGAAAAAAUUCCCAUACCGACCACUGUAUCGUGUUUACAGGUACUGGGCCAACGUAUUGUAGCCAAGUAUACGUUGCAGAGGACUACGGGCAGUAUAACACAUAAAACGGGCGCAUAAACGAGAUGCUAUCGGAGUUGGAGGAGGUUCCGCGUAAUCUAUCCAAUUAUCGUUCGAUCAGAGCUGUAUCCGUGAUUGUUGGGACCCCCAGCCACCGAGAGAAACUUGACUGCGAUGAAGAGCAUAAGGGAUAUCUGUACAGAAAGUUCCUAUCCAAUGCUCUAUUACAAACCGAAUAAUAUCCGAGAAAAGCAAAGCAAGCGUUUUAGAAAGAAAAUAAAAAUUACAAUAAAAUAUUGUAAAAUAACACUAUAAUUACCAGUAACCAACGCAAAUCUUUAAAAACAAUGAAUAAAUCUUGUGAUUCAGCAUAUCCACUCGUCGCCAUCCAGCUAAUUAUCAAGGAUUUAUUAGUUAUCGAGCGUAGAACCACUUGCUUCUUCAUCGAACUCGAUUCACGGUUCGGUUUCGCAGGGUGGGGUCACCGAAGGUUGCGCAACUCGUGGCUAUUGCGCGGCGGUGCUGCCUUCCACACGAUUGCCACUUUAAGUGCGCCAUAAUGGCAGUGGGCUCGCUAAGAAGAACGCGAUCUUAAGAAACGGCUCACGGUGCCUUAGUACAGGGCUCGCCGUCCGUCUCGGUUUCGCUCGCUCUCUCGUAAGGCUAGCCGUCUCGAUCGCUCAGGGCCCCGCGGAUGCGGAUCGCCGUUGGGCCUUUCACUGGGGCCUGCGGGCUACAGGUCGCGACCUCAACGUGGUCCACUCCCUCUUCCCUUCCCGCCCCUUCGUUCUUUCUCCUCCUGUUUCUUUCGACUCCUUCGCCGCUCUCCAUCCUUCUCCUUCUUCCCUACACCUCCAUCCUGCCUCCUUUUCUUUUUCUCCAAACAUUUUUACCUCCCUUCUCUCUUACCUUUGUGCUUUACCUAACCCGGCUCCCUUUGCCUACUCGCUCCUCUCCGUCUUCACUCCACCGCCGUCUCGUUGCCACUCUCCUCUCGUCCCCGUUGUCCAAGAUAUCCCGAGUCGUCUAUUCUUAGUCACUCUCGUUAAGCGAACCCAACACGGUGAUCAAUGGGAGUUUCCAACGGCUUAACUUCAUCCGGUGGAUAGAUGCAUCUCUGGCCGGAUAGAUUUGGGUUAUCGCCGGUCGGGAUGUUCGAUCGGAGGUUGACAACGUGAAAACGGGUUCCUCUCUACCUUCCUUGGGAAUAUAAGAGAAGACGAUGCGCUCCGCUCGUGAUAUCGACGUAGGUUCGCGACGUUCCCGCGAGAAGAAGCGGCUUGCCCUGAUUUUCGAGUCGAGCGCAUACGUACAUCGGCCGACUCGUGAUCACGACCUCCGCGAUCGGAAGAGCUUAAUCAUGUCCCGGGAACGUUGCAUAUACGGCGUAUACGCGACGAGUGGUAUAACUUGGUGGAGAGAGAAAAAUCGUUUAUUCAUUUCAAUGUAUAUAUAUAUAUAUAUAUAUGUAGGAAUCAAUUUUAUAGUCGAGUCACUUAAUUUCUCCUGACUACGAUUAACCUUACGUUCUAGUUCUAUUUAGUAAUCGGAAUUUAAUCGCACGUUCAUCGACCAACGCACAGAAUUACGCGAAUUUCUCGGCUGCCUCGGUUUUAUUUACGCUUCAUCACAGUUGCCUCGUUAGGAGGAACACUCGCGGCUGUAAUUAACUCUAACCGCGAACCUUUGGAAUUUAUACCGAUACGAUUUUUGUCAUAAAUUCUGCUACUUCUUUCUAACUGUAUAUACAUCAGGUAGAUCGACGUAUACCAUCGAUUAUCAUUGCUCCGUUAUCGUAGCGUAACAAGCUUGAAAACGCAGGAGAAUGAUUCGUAGCCAGUUUUCAGACAUAUUUGAAAGAUUCUUCAGACAAUUGCUCUCAAACUGUAUGUUCAUUUAAGAGCAACGUUCGAAAUUUGUCAUAAAUUGAUGACAGAAUAUUCCGAAAGUUUUGUUGUUAAUUAAAAUUAUAAUCAUAUUUCUUUUUAUCAAUCAACAGUUAUUCUCAGAAACUGUAUCGGAAUUAAUUUAGAAAAUUCUCUUUUUCAGAUAGUUACCCUCAAUAUCGUGAUAAAUACUUUCAAGAAGAGCUUGCUAUAAUUUCACUCUCAAGUGGACACGUACCUUUCGACCGCAAUUUGUUCAAAUAAUUCGAAAGCAUCGGAUAUAUUAAUUUCACGCGGGUGAAGGGUACCCCGCGGUAAUUUUCAAAUUACAAGUUGGCCGCAGGCGAAGUACAGACCGUGGCCGUUCAGCCACACUGGCCUUUAAGACAUUGUCUAAAUAAUAGUCUAAUGGAUAAGGUAUUCCAGGGCUGGGACCAAGCCGAUGGUGCCGCUUCCAAGAGUUGCUGCAUUGUGGUUACGCCAGUGUUUUAGAGGUUCUGGAAGUGGGUGCUCGGGCCGUUUUCUCCGGCAAACUGCCUCGUCCCUGGAUCCCCGGCUUGCACUUCAUUGGCCGCUCAACGGUCGUUGCUAACCCGGUUCUUGAAGAUUCAUCCCCGUGUGUCUCGUGCCGACGUGGCCUGAGCUCUUAUGGUUCCUGAACGUAUUUACGCGAGGUACUCGAGUGAUCAUCCUCCGACGGAAGUCCUUGGAUGGACGACUUCUCCGAUGGAAAAAAGUGUUCGAAAGGUUAAUCUCAUUACGAGACCCUUGGGAUCGAGAUGUGGCCGGGGAUCGGGAAGAUUUCUCAACACGAGGAAGCUUUGAUGUCGGAAGAAUUGACACUGGUUAUCGCCGGUGAAGCAAAUAAUCAUCUCGACGAUGCUCUUUCGAAAAGAAACAUAGAAGCUAUACCUAUAGCGAAGAAGCGCGGUAACGACGAGUGGAGAUCAUAACAGUUACCUUCCAGGAAUCAAUUGGAUCGCGAUGCUGAACAGUUAUACCAAUGCCAUUCCCUGUCCUAGACAAUCGUGCUUGACAGUUGUACAAGGAUCGGCAAAGAAGCUUUCUCAACCACGAUCCUUCGCCGAAAGAAAUUCUGUAAUUAAAAACUCUCGGGACAAGAAGAGGAACAACUUACGGAGUUCGUUCACCCGUGUAUCUCGAAAUGGACGAAAGUUUCACCUCGGAGUGGAAGUUGUAUAAAUUGUCCUUGGGAUGAAUGAACCGUCACGUCCGUUUUACCGAUAACCAUUUUUUCUGCGUUCUGACGUAAACGAUUGUUACACAUCCGGAUUUAUCUAGAUUUACAAAACAGCAUCAUAAAAUAAAUUGUCAAGCUUAACACAA